UGUUAAUCUCCGUCCAUAUUCGAUUAAGUUGAUAGUAUAGUAGCAUAUAUAUAUAUAUAGAAUUAGGCUGGAAUACUAUUAAUAGUAAGACGCUCUUUUUGCUAUCAAGUUUUUAAUCCUUGGAUGAAAAAUUAUAGCAUCAUGAUGAUAUUAGUCGGUUAGAGUUGAAUGAUCCUCCUAGGAUUGAGUGGUCCCUACUGGGUUAUAGUAUUUCAUCCAAUGGUUAGAAAUAAUGAAAAGAGUUGAUCUAAAGACUAAAAAACUGAUAGCAAUAAUGAAAUUUUACUACUAAUAGUAGCCCAGUCCAACUCUCUCUCUCUCUCUCUCUCUCUCUCUCUAUAUAUAUAUAUAUAUAUAUAUAUAUAUAUAUAUAUAUAUGCCAUGGCUACUAUACUAUUAUGAGUAUUGGAGCCUUCGUACUCAUAAGUUAUUUUCGAUGAUGGGGCUUCCGAAUCGACUAUCCACUCCGUUAAAUAUGAUAUAGAAUAUUUGAACUUUUAGAAAAUAAAUUUCGUAAAUUUUCGAAAUCAUAAUAAAGCCCAUCAAGUGGACAUAAAAUGAACGAUCAAAAUCGAACGACGUCCUAAAAAAGGAUGAUCGGAUCUUUCAAUUCAAGAUCGGAGUUAUUGAUCUUUAUCUAUGUAGUGAAUAGAAUUUUUUAUCAAAAAUUCAACAAAUUCCGAUUCUUUUACACCGUUAAACUAGCAAGUAUCCCAUACCGGCCGUUAAAAAUUGUCAAAUUUUUGACCUCUUGAUCGUAAGAUAAAUGAUGUUGAAAAAUUAUAAAAUUUGAUUUCUAGAAGUUUUAAAUGCUGUAAAUAACGUUUAACGGUGUGGAUCGUCGAUUCGGAAGCUUUAUCAUCGAAAAUAACUUAUGAGUAUGAGGGCGAUCGUACUCAUAAUAGUAUAGUAGCCGGACCCUAUAUAUAUAUAUAUAUAUAUAUAUAUAUAUAUAUAUAAGUUCGGCUACUAUACUAUUGAUAGUAUUAAGUCCUUGGUACUAUUAAGUUUUCUACCGUUAGAUCUACCAUUUGAUCAUUUUCACCCGUUAGAUUAUACUAUUAAACCAACCACCCACUCAACCCUAGGGGAUCACUAUCAUCCUAACCGCACAUCCUUUCAUCCAACGGCCGAAAACUCAAUAGUAUCAACUCAAUAGUAUCAAGGGAUUGGUACUAUUGAUAGUAUAGUAGCAUAUAUGUCACGCCCCGGAUGUCUCGUUCCCCGGGCACGCCGACAAAUAGUAGCAUAGAGCUGCUCAAUAAACAAAAGUACCUGUAGAUGUACAAUACUACAAACAGUAGCAUAGAGCUGCUCAAUAAACAAAAGCUAAACAACUGAGUUUCAUAUACAUAGUCCAAAUCCAAAAUACAGGGUUACUCGCACUGACGCGUUAAGCAAGCUAUGUACAUAAACUCAAAACAAAACAUCUACCUAAAGUAGGGGUGCCUCUAGCUCUGUCAAUCGGGUAGGGCUCUAGCUCGCGACGCCCUUGCCUCGAUCCUGAUCCGCGGAAGGCGCAGCAGCAGAAACCUGUGGCUCUGCAAAACAAGAGUAACAACUGGGCGUGAGAACUACUGUAAAAACAAGUAGUCCUCAGUGGGUACGGCCCAAAACAACAUCGGUCACCCACUAAGUCUACAGAAGGGAGCAAGAAUAGUAGGAAAAGCAGGAAGUACACUCUACCGCUAUCAAUCACUACACUAUCAUGCUCUACACUAACCAAUUGUAGAAAAUGUCAAAUCUGACCCAAUCCAAUCGGGACUGUAAGCAUACCCGUCCCCGGGACUGUGAAUACACCCGUCCCUGCCCCGUUGCGACUAUCAGGCUCUAUCCACACUAACUGGUCCGUGGAGAGCAAGUCCAACUGGCAUGAGCGACACCAACGCGAAAGCACAAGCCUGACUCCGGAGUGGCACUCGUGGGCGCUACCCAACCGAGUAUGCAGCGUAUCUCUGUCGAGCUCAAACAGGCUCUAAAAAGCCAAAGUCAAGAAAUCGACUCUAACUGGUCUAACAACCAAGAAGUACGUGCCCUCGGCACAAUCAGACGCUAAAAAGGUGAUACGGGUCCACCGUCCACUCUGACGGCACCCAACAGUCCGGAAC
rnacentral:lncRNA from 1 species